rnacentral:rRNA from 1 species
UACGAAGGGGGCUAGCGUUGUUCGGAAUUACUGGGCGUAAAGCGCACGUAGGCGGAUUGUUAAGUCAGAGGUGAAAUCCCGGAGCUCAACUUCGGAACUGCCUUUGAUACUGGCAAUCUAGAGUCCGGAAGAGGUUAGUGGAAUUCCCAGUGUAGAGGUGAAAUUCGUAGAUAUUGGGAAGAACACCAGUGGCGAAGGCGGCUAACUGGUCCGGUACUGACGCUGAGGUGCGAAAGCGUGGGGAGAAACAGG